rnacentral:misc_RNA from 1 species
UGCUCAGAAGCAGUCGUGCUGCUAGCGCUCCUAGCGGGAAUUUGCGGAAAUCGCGGAGUUUACUGAUAAGUUUAGCUGCGAAAAAGUUUGCCGGAAGCAUUUAAAACACUCAAAAUAAGUUAGUUCACUCGAAAAAGUCGAACUUGUUUAGUUCAUCUGAUAACUAAAUAGAUCCGAUUUUUCGUGAAGUGAUUUUUCCCAGUUCGUCGAUUUCCCGAUUACAGGAAAAUUAUUGCCAGAAAAUAAGUUUCUCCUCGCGCGGUUUCAUAUCAUGAAAAUCUGAAAACCCUACUGAUGUAAAGAUAGAUUUUGAUAACACUAUCACAAGCUUUCAUUGUUUUUGUCAACUAAUUACUGUGAAUUGUUUGAAGAGGCUAUGAUAGGUAUUGAUAACAUUAUCACUAGCCAUUAUAUCAUUUCUCCUAACUGAAAAAACCCUCAAAUAUCGAUAAUCAUACAAUAUUUAAAAUGUGCAUUGAGUGAUAGAUUUUUCUCGGUUGAAAAUUGAUGAUUUCUAACGAUGUAAUCGAUCCUUAAGUGCAAGAUUUUCUAUUGUGCUAACUGAAAGAGUGGAUGUUUCAAAUAUUGUGCCUGUUUACUUUGUUAUCUUGAGUUGUUUUUGAUUAUUGAAUUGUAAUUUACUUGAACGGAAAGACAACGGAUUUAAUCACAUACCAGGAUUGGAGGAUUUUGAGCUUUGUUCCAAUGCAUCACAACCUGAGUCAUGAUUGAACCUGUGAGCCACAUCCUAAAUGGUGUCACCAAAGUCAUUCAAUGACUGAUCACAACUAAAAACAAAAUGGCUGACGAAGCAGGGAGCUCGGAUUCAUCGCGCUCCAACAGCCGACGCCAUCUAUGGGUACGCGCCUUACAUAAGAUCAACAUAGCCAGAGAACAGAGCAGCCUGGUGGGAGCGGUCACCCAUCCACCUCUGGCCGCCACCGCGUCUGCACCCCCCGUCACCACCACGCACCACCUAACCUACCCGACGCUCACCGUCACCAGUCACCAGGACAAGUUUAUACCAUCAAACCACACGUCUCCAACAAGUGAUACAACAGCCAAAGAUGGGACGGUGUGUGGUAACACUGCAGACACGUGUAGCUUGGAAGGGGACUCUCCUGGAGAUCUGGAUGAUUUCGAUAUUGAUUUUGGAGCCAUGGACGAUUUCUUCAAGAAAGGUCUACUCUACAAGGGCAUCUACUGGCCCACUCUCACUAACAGCUUCAAGGAAGAGCAUCUGGAACUAUCCUAUCAGCGAUAUUCUCACAGACAGAGGCAGAAGUCGCUCAUCAUUGUCAAUCUCGUUGAUAUUGCUCUCAAAUUCGCUUUCAUAGUGAUCUGGUUGCGCGACCAAUCAGAAAACCCGGUUGAGAGCAGUGUGGUUGCUUGGACUGGCUGUGCCCUGGCUGCUAAUUUGGCUGUCAUCAUUCUGGGCUGGUGGAGGCGAUUUGCUAACAACUACCUCCAUUGGGCUGCUCUAUUCACCUGGUUACUACUCAACGUACAAGCAUUUGUGGGCGAGUGCUCGGGCUUUUGCGUGUCGCAGUACAUAGACUGGUAUGUGCUGUUCAUAGUGUUUGUGACGUAUGCGAUGUUGCCACUUCCUCUGCGGUGGAGUAUCACUGCUGGAUGUCUCACUGCCACCGUCAACCUCCUCAUUGCCAGUGUUGCCAAGUUUCCACCUGACAAACAUUAUAAAGACUUGAGCUGCGUUGUGAGGCAGAUGAUAGCAAUGGCGUUGGUGUAUCUGGCAGUAAACUUUGCCGGCCUCUACACCAAAUACCUGACAGACCGGGGACAGAGGAAGGCGUUCUUGGAGACCCAUCGCUCCACUGAGACAAGAUAUCACACACAAAAGGAAAACGACCAACAAGAAAGACUUCUACUCUCAGUGUUGCCAGACUUCGUAGCCAAAGAAAUGAUCAGAGACAUAGCGACGGAAGCAGAGAAAGGCUCGUUCACACCGCACCAAUUCCACCGCAUUUAUCUGCACUGCUACGAGAAUGUCAGCAUAUUAUUCGCUGAUAUCAAGGGAUUUACUGCGUGGGCCAGCCAAUGCAGUGCUCAAGAGCUUGUUCGAGUGCUCAAUGACCUGUUUGCCAAAUUCGAUAAGCUUGCAACGGAGAACCACUGUCUGCGCAUAAAACUGCUGGGUGACUGCUAUUACUGUGUGUCGGGUCUCCCCAAACCCAGAGCUGAUCAUGCGCACUGCUGUGUCGAAAUGGGACUCCACAUGAUCACCGCUAUACAAGAUGUCCGCGACAAACUCAAUGUAGACUUAAAUAUGAGGAUAGGCAUUCACUCCGGGUCGGUUCUAUGCGGAGUCCUUGGACUGAGGAAAUGGCAGUUUGAUGUCUGGUCUUAUGACGUCACUCUAGCCAAUCAUCUAGAGUCUGGCGGAAUUCCUGGGAGAGUCCACAUAUCCAAAGCAACUUUACAAUGCUUGGAUGGAGCUUACGAGGUGGAACCUGGUCAUGGAGAUACAAGAGACAGUUAUUUGAAAGAGCACGAAGUGGAGACGUUUUUGAUCAGUCAAAAAGAGCCGUCGAAACCGAGGAGGCGCCUUCAGCACAAGACGUCCCGUCCACGGCUCUGGUCAGAAGAAGAGCAUCGGUCAAAUUUAAUCAACGAUCACACCAACUCGCCUCCGCUCAACAACAUUGCAGGAAGAACAAAGCAUACAGAUAGCAAUGGGAAUCACGGCAACCACACACUUGGCUUCAUAGAUGAGUGGACGCCUGAGAUACCGUUUGAAAAUAUAUCAAGCGGCCAAGACAUGGAAGCAAGCGAUGUGCCAAACACUGACCAGGCACAGAUCAGCAGCGGACAGAAUCCACCAAUGAGCACCUCGGAAGAGGUUGACGUCAUCAUGGACCACAGCAUAGAAGUGGACAGUAAUCAGCGCAUGCGCAAAGACAACAUCAACCCCUGGACUCUGAGGUUCAAGCAGGGUGACAUCGAGGAUAAAUUUUGUAUGCUACGAGAGGACAUGUUCAAAUCCAACAUGCUCUGCUGUUUCAUCAUAUGGAUUUUCAUCGUUGGAAUUCAAUCUGUGAUAUUGCCAAGGUCAAUCCUAGUGGGAGCUUCCCUUCUGGGUACCACCCUAGUUCUGAGCUCAGCCCUAGUCCUGGUGAUGGCCGAGGAAUUCCAUCAGCUUCCAGAUCCUCUGCAGAAGAUAUCCAGCAUCCUCGUCCAGAACCGUCUGAGGAGAACUGGCUUCAUCUGCGUCUUCAUUACACUCAUGUGUAUAUCGGCUACACUCACUCUCGUAUUCUCUCCCGAUGAUCACAGACACCAACCCAAUGUAUUCGAGGAACAAACCAGAACACUAGCGCGCUCUGUGCGGUCAAUCGAAGUACUACAACAAUCAACCAGCAACAAUUCAAGUGAUAUCCUCCAUAAAACAACAAAGAAAUCAAAUCUUCCCAACUUUAUCUCUACACAAAAUACAACGUUCAGAAGUCUACGGAAGAGACGUUACAAGAACAACGAAAACACGACAAAAACUAAACAGAAAUCCUCGAAAAAUGAUAGCAGACAAUCACAUUUGAAUAUCAACAGAGAGUUGAAAUUUUUGAAGACUGAUUUGAUAAGACAUUUUCGUACCAGGAGUCAUUUUCUACACACUACUAAAUCAAAAUUCAAUAACCGGAAAUCACUACAUUUUGUUCUGGGCAAAAAUAAUAAACAAUUUGAGGAUAUUAUUAGGAAUUAUUCAAGUGGCUUGAUCUCAAUUCCAAGUAAUGCUACAAACUCUAGGGGGAGCAGGAAUAUUUCUGAGAGUAAAAUAAAUUUUAGGGGAGUUGAUCAGAAUAAAUCUGAUUGUUCUAAUUCAAGUGUUGGAGGGAAAAAUAGUGGGAAAUUUUUGGGGAAAAAGUUGAGAAAUGACACUAAAUUUGAAGAAGGGGGAAGUGCAAUAAAUGAAAAGUAUGUUGCAGAUGUGAUAAAUGUUACUACAUACUUGGGGGUGGAUUAUCUGAGGUUGGAGGGAGUUGAUAAGGGUAGGAAAAAUGAUGUUAAAUCACAUAGUAUUGAAAUAACUCAACGCGGGGUUGUUGGUUCGAAUAAAUUCAGAAUACCAAGUGAGGCUGCAGCAUAUAAUCUUGAAAGAGUGAGUGAGGUUGAGGUACAUGAUCCUAAAUUAAUGAGUGAGGGUUUGGGACGUUAUCCUGAAACUAGAAGUGAGGUUAAGUCACAUGAUCCUAGAUCCCUGAGUGAGGGUAUAGGUCGUUAUCCUGGAACUAGAAGUGAGGUUAUGUCUCGUGAUACUGGAACAAGAAAUGAGGAUAUGUCACAUGAUCCUAAAAGAGAUAGUGAGGAUUUGGAACACAAUCUUAGACCAAAACUUGAGGUUAUGUCUCAUAGUAUUGAAAUAUUAAGUGAGGUUAACCCACUUGAUCCCAGAUCACUGAGUGGGGAUCUAAUGGAACAUAAUCCUAGAUCACGUAAAACAUUGAGUGGCAUUAACUCACAUGAUCCUAGAUUAUUGAAUGGAGAUGUUACGGAACAUGAUUCUAAAUCACUUGGUACAUUGAGUGGUAUUAACUCACAUGAUCCUAGAUCACUAAAUGGAGAUCUGAUGGAACAUAAUCCCAGAUCACUAAAUGGAGAACUAAUGGAACAUAAUCCUAGAUCACUAGAAACAGUGAGUGAGAUUAACUCACAUGUUCCUAGAUCACUAAAUGGAGAUCUAAUGGUGCAUAAUCCCAAAUCACUGAAUGAAGCUUUAACAAAUAAUCCUAAAACACAAAUUGAGGAUGGGUCACACAGCCCCAAAACCCAAAAUGAGGAGGCUAUAACACACCAAAUAAACCACAAAGAUCUCAAAACUGAGGACCUCAAUAACCUACCUCAAAAUCCGGGUGAAAACAGGUUACAAUCUAAUAUAACCAAAUUGAACCAACUCAAAAGUGAAAAUUCAAGUUUCAUAGACAAUGAAAUAUUGGAAACUGAUGGUUUCCCACAAGUUAGCAACAACAGUGCGUCAAAAACGGACGAAACAAAUUUGAAAACAAUGUAUUUUGUAGGAAGUGUUUACAGUGCACGACAGAGAAAUGCACGGACUACGAACGUGUCAGAAAAUAUUUUACCGGACGAGAUUAUCAGCGAUCCUCGAUACGUGUUGACUGAAGAUAACCCGUGCUGCGUACAUCCAGAGUUUCUAGUUUUUACGUGGGUUUUGUGUCUUGUUGCUUUGGCAACGACCUUGAAACUGUAUUUUCUGAUAAAAACUAUGUUCGCUAUAGCGAUGGUUGUGGCGUAUUUUAUGCUGAUAGUCUUCGCCUACCCUCAGGUGUUCUGGCAGGAUCAUUUCGAUAAGAAUUUGAGAAUGCCCCUAGCCUACCAAAUGCUGCUACUUCUCUCCAUCUUCCUCACCCUGGUUGCCUACCAUGCUCGCUUGGUCGAGGUGACGUCACGGCUCGACUUCCUCUGGAAGAGAGAGGCGCAGAGAGAGCUGAGUGAAAUGAGAGAGACGAGGAGAAACAAUCGUCAGCUGUUGAGAAACAUUUUGCCUGACCAUGUGGCGAACCAUUUUCUCACUUCUGAGAGGACUGAUGAAUUAUAUUCUCAGUCACGGAACAACGUUGGGGUGAUGUUUGCCAGUAUUCCAAAUUUCACAGAAUUCUAUUCUGAGGAUAUCAACAAAGGCAUGGAAUGCAUAAGGCUGCUCAAUGAGAUAAUCGUUGAUUUUGACGAACUACUAGCUGAUCCAAAGUUCGCGUCGAUUGAGAAAAUCAAAACCGUUGGAGCGUGCUACAUGGCUGCUUCGGGGCUUAAUCCUAGACAUCAGUCGGAAUCAGGCAAUAACAAGCACAUCUGUGCCCUGGUGGACUUUGCUGUUGCCAUGAAGCAUGCUCUGGACGAAGUCAACAAGCACUCCUUCAACAAUUUUCAUCUCAGAGUUGGAAUCAGUAGCGGCCCCCUAGUGGGAGGGGUUAUCGGAGCGAAGAAGCCAGUGUAUGACAUCUGGGGAAACACAGUCAAUGAGGCCUCACGAAUGGACUCCACUGGCAACAUGGGGCGUAUUCAGAUACCAAAGGAAACUGCAAUGAUCCUGACCUCGCACGGGUACCAAGUGGAAUACCGUGGCCUUGUGCCUGUGAAAGGCAAGGGUGAGAUGGAGACGUACUAUGUGGUGGGGCGGAGUGUCGGCCCCUUCACACGGCAGCCCAGUCAGCAUGCCAGUCUGGCUGCAGUCGUCUACGGCAUGGUUCAGGCACGACGACGACAGAACACCGUCAAGCGGACCACAUCACACAGUGAAAGCAAUGAGUCGAAACUGAGAUGAUUCGAGGAAAUUGAAGCAAAUCUGCAAGGGAUGGAACAAUAUUUUUGUUUUGAGACACGUUCCGAAAUUAUUUUGAGAGGUUUUUGAAGGGAGGCGCCGGUCUCAGCCGCACCAAAUCGCAGCACAACACGUCAACCUCCAAAGGCAUGUUCGACGGCCACCUGUCCAUCACGGCGGCUCGCCCUGGCGGACGGCUGGUGAACUUUAGCAGCUUCCGCAUCACCCA